ensembl:lncRNA
CUCCUUCAGGGGAGAUCAUCACUGUGCAGGUGUGUGUCUGAGUGAGUGGGUGAGGUGUGUUUGCGUGUGUGUUUUUGGACACGGGGGAGAGUUGCUGUUGCCUCCACACUCAGGCCUGGGGAAGAGAACCGAGGGCAAAGAGUCACAUAACACUAAGAAGCAGAGGGAUAACCAGUGAAACAGUUGCCUGGCUGAACGUCCUGAGGGAAACUCGCAGAGGGGUUUUGUGGUCUCACCUGUGAAGCAUCAGCGAGAACAACAACAACAACAAUGUUUUUCCGCAUCCCUCGGCUGACCCCUGGAUAUAUUAGAUACCUCCAGGGCAUGUGUUGGAUUGGCACUAAAUUUUGAGACCCCUCCAAAACCCCCCACAGAGGACUGAAACACCGGCAUCAGCUGUAUGGGGUGCUUCAAGGUUCAAGACCCAGGCAGCCCAGACUGUGGUGCAGAGCCGGGAGGGCCCUGCUACGCCGCGCAUGGCUUUCCUGCUGGGUCUCGUGGGUAUCGGCAUGUCCGGCUACAGCUCACGCCAGCUCACGCUGCACUACAAGCCCUCAAAUCACCUCUUUAGAUGAAAUGGAUGGAGAACACACAGACUUUUCUUUUUUCUUUUGGGAAAUACGCUUAUUAAAUGUGGACUCCAGCAAGUUUGUUUUUGUAGUUAAGAAACGGUCUAACACCUCUAAACCUCACAGUGAUUUAUACGCUUUCCAGUUUUGUGAGGUUUAGGGAUGUUGAUGAAUUUUGUUUCCUGGCUCAAAAUUCACAAUAAGCAGAAACAAGUGAAAAUGAUGGGAUAAAUAAUAAAUAAGGCUAUUUCCCAAAAACUCAAACUGUCGAUUGAAGUGAUGUUACCACAUUGUAUGUUUCUGUUCUGUAUUUUUUCUUAUGUGCAUCCCUACUAAUUAUUCCCUUCAUGUGGUUAAAGUUCAAUAUUUAAUUUGUUAUAAUGUUGUGGUAUUUGAGUUGACAAGAUUGUUGCCUUAAGGCUCAGAUAGUGCAGUUAAAAAGCAGAAAAACAUAUUUUAAAAAAUCCCUCUUACUUCAAGUACCGUGCAUUUUUUUUUUCAACCUAUAUGCAGUAACACAGAGGCAGCUUUUGAUGUUUCUGCUGAACGUUGUUGAUGCUGCACUCGAGCCACAGUCCCAGCCCAUGUUUGGUGCCUUACUGUGGGAGUAUUCAGUCAGAGCUGGCCUUUGAAACAGAUUCACAGGCUAAAGCACUUAGCAAAAUGCAUCAGCGGUCUUCAAAGACACUAAAUACAGCUUAGCCAAGCCUAAAGAAAUCUCUUCCAAAAUCCUCAAUCUUUUAAUCAUUCCUUUCUUUAUCUGUGAGAUUUUGGCAAACUCUGUGAUGUAACACAGAGAUCCCAGCUCCCUCUUCUUUCUGGAGGAGGAAAGCCAGCGUUGUGAUGUCUUGGCCUGUUUGUGCUUCUUGGAUUUCUUGUGUAACAGAGAGAUCAAAUUAGAAGCAUAUUUAAAUCAGGGUAACUGAAGUCUGCUUUCACUCUCAAUUCUUGUCGAGAGUUGACAGCGUGGGUUUCUGAUAUCUUUUUCCGCUCUAUCAAAAUGCCAGAGAAGUGAAGAAAAUCUGCCUGCUCACAGUCGGCUGCUCAGAAGAGCACAAAGAAAAAUGCUUUAACAGAAACAUAAGAAAUGUGAAGCCUUUGAGAUGCGAGCAAUGCUGUUUUGCACUUUUUUGUUGUGUGUACAUAUUUUGUAUAUAAUCGUGUACAUAUUGCAUGCUGAAUGAGAUUAGUAGCCAAUGACGUGGUGUGCUACCAGCCUGUGAUGUGAGCUGGACUGGGGGACGUCUGGCUGGAUUGACACACAGCACUGCUGUGUUGGUGUCAGGCAUAGGAACCAGGACAGCCACCCUGGGUACCACCUGGACAGCCAUGUGAAUCCACCCGGAUCUCUCCCAUUUGCACCCCACUGUAAAUCAAAGUGAAUGUAGAUGAAUGACCACUACGGUCUCUUAACAUAGGUAGACUCCUUUUCUGGGAGUGGGGGCGGGUAUCUUCUGUGCACAGUAAAUUUCAAUGGAAAAAACACUUUGACAGCAUAUGAAUGUAUUGCCUACAGGGAAUAAAACUGAUCAGUUAAACUGUAAUUGUGAAGAUGACUGUGUCAUAAUCACCUGGCUAAAGCAGUUUAGCGUGAACAGGUCACAGAGGAGGUGCAGUUAUGCUGCAAUCCCUCAAAGAUCUUCUGUCUUUUUUUAGAUAAGCUUAUACGUAAAGGUGAGAGGCUUCUGAAAUACAGAUAUAGAUAUAGCAGUUCAAGAAGUGUGCUUUUUUAUGUCUGUUAACUGCAUGGCAAAGAUUCAAAUCUCCGUAGGGUGAUUUUAAAUAAUAUGUUGUUGUUAUGCUUUAUUAUUGCUGAAGCUUUACUCGUUUAGCUUUCUUGUUAGUGUUUGUGGACUAAUGGCAUAAAAUGUCUCAAAUACUGCUGAUUAUCUGAGUUUGUAAUUAGAACUGUGUAUGUUUAAGCCCAUCAUCAUAUCCUUUAUUUAUUUAGCUAGGUCCUUUUGAUGUUACAAAAGGCCAGAGGAGAUUAUUUGCAUGCCACCAGAGUGCUUCUGUGUUAUUAUUAUUUUUAUUUUUUAAUUUAUAAGUAGUAAAACUGAGCUGUGGUGUCAUGGAUCGUUAAGGUUUACCUGAAGCAUUCUAAAUACACAACUCAGCACCUCUGAAAAUGCAUUAUUUUGUACUGUUCAGUGUAUUCGUGUGUGCUAAUAAAUCAGUAGAACUCAACACAAGGUCUUUUUUGUGUAUCCCGCAAAUUUCAGAGUCCUGAUCUGAAGAAAAACAACUUUCUGCUAUGUAAAUGAAAAGAAGGUAAUGCUUUAUGUGCUCACUAGAUGUCAGCGUACUUGUUUUUAGCCAUUUUCUCAGGACGCAACAAG